rnacentral:ncRNA from 2 species
AACAACUGAGAUGACAUUGGCGCGCCAACACCCGGACGUGUGGCGCUCAAUGGGGGAAGCCGGUGUAAGUCCGGCGCUGUCGCGCAACGGUAACAGCCGCAAAAUGCUGAAGCCCGAAUACCCACCAAUACGUCACUCGAUCA